AUCUCGAUUUGACGCUGGAGAUAGUAGACACUUCCCCUUUUAUUUACUGGUGUGAAUGAGAAUGAUAGAUGUGUGAUUACCAUUAGGCUGCCCCCAUCACAUUCAUCCAUGAUCCGUACAUGCGGGAUCUAUCGCUACUCGCUGGUCGUUAUUACGUGACUUGCAGCGAAGCUCAAACUGCCUCGACGUUGAUGCACGGUGGCCGCGAAAAUCAUGGCGAGCGGCCGCCGGAGCAACCUUCAGGUGGGCAGCGCGGCGGGCAGAGGCGGC
rnacentral:lncRNA from 1 species